rnacentral:rRNA from 1 species
AUUGAACGCUGGCGGCAGGCUUAACACAUGCAAGUCGAGCGAGCGGCGGACGGGUGAGUAAUGUCUGGGAAACUGCCUGAUGGAGGGGGAUAACUACUGGAAACGGUAGCUAAUACCGCAUACUAUCGGAUGAACCCAUAUGGGAUUAGCUAGUAGGUGAGGUAAUGGCUCACCUAGGCGACGAUCACUAGCUGGUCUGAGAGGAUGAUCAGCCAGACUGUAACUGAGACACGGUCCAGACUCCUACGGGAGGAAGCAGGGGGGAAUAUUGCACAAUGGGCGCAAGCCUGAUGCAGCCAUGCCGCGUGUGUGAAGAAGGCCUUCGGGUUGUAAAGCACUUUCAGCGAGGAGGCGUUACUCGCAGAAGAAGCACCGGCUAACUCCGUGCCAGCAGCAGCGGUAAUAC